AGUGAACGCUGGCGGCAGGCUUAACACAUGCAAGUCGAGCGGGCAUCUUCGGAUGUCAGCGGCAGACGGGUGAGUAACACGUGGGAACGUACCCUUCGGUUCGGAACAACUCUGGGAAACUGGAGCUAAUACCGGAUACGCCCUUAUGGGGAAAGGUUUACUGCCGAAGGAUCGGCCCGCGUCUGAUUAGCUAGUUGGUGGGGUAACGGCCUACCAAGGCGACGAUCAGUAGCUGGUCUGAGAGGAUGAUCAGCCACACUGGGACUGAGACACGGCCCAGACUCCUACGGGAGGCAGCAGUGGGGAAUAUUGGACAAUGGGCGCAAGCCUGAUCCAGCCAUGCCGCGUGAGUGAUGAAGGCCUUAGGGUUGUAAAGCUCUUUUGUCCGGGACGAUAAUGACGGUACCGGAAGAAUAAGCCCCGGCUAACUUCGUG
rnacentral:rRNA from 1 species